rnacentral:tRNA from 1 species
UGCCUCAACUCAGUGGGUAGAGCAUCGGAGUACAAAUCCGUGGGCAUCGGGUUCAAAUCCCCGUGAGGAAU